AGCGAACGCUGGCGGCAGGCUUAACACAUGCAAGUCGAGCGGGCAUAGCAAUAUGUCAGCGGCAGACGGGUGAGUAACGCGUGGGAACGUACCUUUUGGUUCGGAACAACACAGGGAAACUUGUGCUAAUACCGGAUAAGCCCUUACGGGGAAAGAUUUAUCGCCGAAAGAUCGGCCCGCGUCUGAUUAGCUAGUUGGUGAGGUAAUGGCUCACCAAGGCGACGAUCAGUAGCUGGUCUGAGAGGAUGAUCAGCCACAUUGGGACUGAGACACGGCCCAAACUCCUACGGGAGGCAGCAGUGGGGAAUAUUGGACAAUGGGCGCAAGCCUGAUCCAGCCAUGCCGCGUGAGUGAUGAAGGCCCUAGGGUUGUAAAGCUCUUUUGUGCGGGAAGAUAAUGACGGUACCUACAGAAGAAGCCCCGGCUAACUUCGUGCCAGCCGCCGCGGUAA
rnacentral:rRNA from 1 species